rnacentral:rRNA from 1 species
AUUGAACGCUGGCGGCAUGCCUUACACAUGCAAGUCGAACGGUAACGGGUCCUUCGGGAUGCCGACGAGUGGCGAACGGGUGAGUAAUAUAUCGGAACGUGCUCAGUAGUGGGGGAUAACUGCUCGAAAGAGCAGCUAAUACCGCAUACGACCUGAGGGUGAAAGGGGGGGAUCGCAAGACCUCUCGCAAUUGGAGCGGCUGAUAUCAGAUUAGCUAGUUGGUGGGGUAAAGGCCUACCAAGGCAACGAUCUGUAGUUGGUCUGAGAGGACGAACAACCACACUGAGACUGAGACACGGCGCAGAUUACUACGGGAUGCAGAAGUGGGGAAUUUUGGACAAGGGGCGCAAGCCUGAUCCAGCAAUGCCGCGUGCAGGAUGAAUGCCUUCGGGUUGUAAACUGCUGUUGUACGGACAGAAAAGCCCCGGGUUAAUACCCUGGGGUCAUGACGGUACCGUAAGAAUAAGCACCGGCUAACUACGUGCCAGCCGCCGCCGUAA